UAGGAAUUUCCUGUGAACAGGAGCCAUGGU
rnacentral:piRNA from 1 species